rnacentral:lncRNA from 1 species
GCCUUUCUGCCUGAGAAUCCGAAACUGCUCGGGGGAGAGAAUAGCUUGCCAUUCUUCCUCCGAUUUCUGGACCGAGCCAGGAGUAGGUGCAGCAGACAUGGCAACAAUUCCACCGCGAAAACCACGCUUCGGUUGACGAAUGGAAAUGGUAGGGAGAGAGUUGAAGAGAAAGGUAGGGUUAGAACGAAUUGAGGAAAUGGGUUUGGUGACGUUGAAAGAAGAAAGAGGUGUUAUCCUUAGGAUAUUCACCAUCAUCUUGUGUUCAUCAAGGUCAGCGUGUGACCCUCGCCCAACCAAUAUGUACCAAUUCUUCUUUGGAUAAUAUAUGAUUAAACCAAAUUGUUUGUAUUUGGGCUCUGUCUGGUAACACAAAAAAGCUAGGUUAUAGUUUGUUUGAUUAGCUUAUAAGCUAAUCAACCAUCAUCUUGUGUUCAUCAAGGUCAGCGUGUGACCCUCGCCCAACCAAUAUGUACCAAUUCUUCUUUGGAUAAUAUAUGAUUAAACCAAAUUGUUUGUAUUUGGGCUCUGUCUGGUAACACAAAAAAGCUAGGUUAUAGUUUGUUUGAUUAGCUUAUAAGCUAAUCAACCAUCAUCUUGUGUUCAUCAAGGUCAGCGUGUGACCCUCGCCCAACCAAUAUGUACCAAUUCUUCUUUGGAUAAUAUAUGAUUAAACCAAAUUGUUUGUAUUUGGGCUCUGUCUG